GGACUACCCGGGUAUCUAAUCCUGUUUGAUCCCCACACUUUCGUAUCUCAGCGUCAGUAUUUGGCCAGAUGGCCGCCUUCGCCACCGGUAUUCCUCCUGAUAUCUACGUAUUUCACCACUACACCAGGAAUUCUACCAUCCUCUCCAAUACUCAAGCUUUACAGUUUCAAAUGCAAUUCCAUGGUUAAGCCAUGGGAUUUCACACCUGACUUGAAAAGCCGCCUACAUACGCUUUACGCCCAGUGAUUCCGAACAACGCUAGGACCCCUCGUCUUACCGCGGCUGCUGGCAC
rnacentral:rRNA from 1 species